ACCUGGCUGGCUCAGUAGGUAGAGCAUGUGACUCUUCAUCUCAGGGUUGUGGGUUCAAGUCCCAUGUUGCAUG
rnacentral:tRNA from 1 species